UACCAGCACCCCGAGUGGUCGGGACGUUUAUUGGGCCUAAAGCAUCCGUAGCCGGUUCUACAAGUCUUCCGUUAAAUCCAGCUGCUUAACAGAUGGGCUGCGGAAGAUACAAUGGAGCUAGGAGGCGGGAGAGGCAAGCGGUACUCGAUGGGUAGGGGUAAAAUCCGUUGAUCCAUUGAAGACCACCAGUGGCGAAGGCGGCUUGCCAGAACGCGCUCGACGGUGAGGGAUGAAAGCUGGGGGAGCAAACCGG
rnacentral:rRNA from 1 species